UUAUAAAUAAAUACUGUACCGCAGACAGUAGGUGCGUUAGCAUAACGUAUACAACCUACCGAGGUCUUAAGAUAAAUGGACGGAUCGUAUAGUCACUUUGCCUGCGGAGAAGAAUUAGCAAAGUGACUUUUUGUUUUACAAA
rfam:Epulopiscium sp. Nele67-Bin005 Nele67M_MBin00214, whole genome shotgun sequence.